rnacentral:lncRNA from 1 species
GUCAUUGUCAGCUACCUGGGGAUGCGCCUCUCGCUCCCUCACUGUCUUUGCGUGUGUGUUAGUGUGUGUGUGUGUGUGUGUGUGUGUGUGUCGGCCUGUCUACGCACUACACGAAGGCUUAGUUGGUCUUCUUUCGUCUAGUGGGCGCACUCAGGUGCGUCACCAUUCUGCCGUUUCCCUCGCCCUUGUCCUGUCCGAAAGAACCGUCCGCAAGCUGCCCUGUGGUCGCGCUCACCAGCUCUUCGAGCCGCAGCUAACCCAUCUUCUUGUUUUUGUGUCUUUAACUAGGACUUCUAUUUGGAACUGAGUCCGACAGCUCAGGACUGGCUGCUCAAACUCCACAAUUUAAUGAAAAAUCUCAGAUGAUGACUCAGAAAACCUCUAAUGAUCUGAGGAAUAUAUUAAGGGAUUCCAGAGUCAAAGGCUGAUCAUGGAGGGCAUUGAUGAGGGAAGACUUCAGCACGUUUUUCAGCACCAGGACAAGCAUCAUUGCUCAAGGAGAGCUUGGUUGACAACAGGAAGUUAGAAGGAGUCUGAAUUGUAACAAGUGUGGCAAGAGCACCAAGAUCACUGUGUGUGUGUGUUCACAGAAAAUGUACCAAAGGGAGAAGCCUUAAAAACAAAUGGCAGGUGUGGGCACCAGAAAAUCAACACAUCGGGAAGAGAAAAAUGGCAUGGUUUUACUGUAAUUGUAAAAAGACGCCCUAAAGAGUGUCUAUCGGAUCACCCUCAAGUUGGGUCAAACGGCUCCUCUUCUCGGCUUUUCGGGAGCAACCCUAUCUCAACAUUCACCAUCUUAAGAUGAGCAGACUGCAAGUUUGCCUCUCCCACCAGUAUGGGAGCUGCCGAAGCGGCAAGAACAGCGUUUCCGUCCAUCGAGCGCCAGGUCACCAGUCAGCUCCAGUCCUAUUUUGAGUUGAAGUAAAAGCUCCUCCCUAGAUGGCCAGUGCACGUCUUUAAAAAGCGACUCCUUUCCCACAAAGGAAAUACGACUGGUUCGCAUCUAUCAAGGGUUGGCGUUGGGAUAAGAGGGUGAAGUAUCAGCUGGCCCUGAUUCUCUGAAUUCCCGGACCCAAUAACGCGACCAAGCACCGUGACUCCCAGGAAAACUAGCGGAGUGAGCGCGGCUGAGGAAAUUACUGACACCGGAAGUCACGUGAGCGGCUGCCCCUAAGGUCGCUAUCUCGACAGUCGACUAUUCAGCCUUGCAGGCGCCUCUGGCGGGCUUCACU